CAAGCCCUCACCGGAAUUGUACGAUAAGUUGGUGGAUAUACUGGGAAAGAUGAAGAAAAUGGAAAAGAUGCGUUCAUUGUUAGAUGAAAUGCAUGCAGACCAUCUUAUUUCUCUUAAUACAAUAGCAAAAGUUAUGAGAAGGUUUGCAGGUGCACGCGAAUGGAAAGAAGCAGUGAGGACAUUUGAUGAGUUGGGAAAAUUUGGUUUGAAGAAGAAUACAGAGUCAAUGAAUUUGUUACUUGACACUCUGUGCAAAGAAAAUAGAGUCCAACAGGCGCGUGAAAUCUUCUACGAGCUCAAG
rnacentral:misc_RNA from 1 species